rnacentral:lncRNA from 1 species
CCACUUGGUUGGCGAACCAAAGAAUUUAAUCAUCAUUGUUUGAUGAAGCAAUGCAUGGUGGUAAUUAGAAUAAUUAUAAGGUUUAAGUCAUGCCAUAAAAUUAAAUUAAAAUGUCGUAGAUGAUCUUUGAUGAGAAGCUAUAGAUUCUCUUUUAGAGUGGGGAAAGAACAAACAACCAAAUUCUCCGCGUUGGGCACAAAGUUUGCUGAUACCUGACACACGACACAUGAUGAGGGUCCCUCAAGAAAACGAUGCGAUGAUCUCCAACUCAAAGUGGAGAAACAAAAAAACCACCAAAGAAUUAUGAAGAUCCACAGUCCCGAUUUGCGAGAGAGAGAGAGAGAGAGAGGAGGGGAGUGAAAGAGAGAGGUGAGCUAUCACACACUCUCACCUAGUGACUGUCCCCAACAGCAGCAUUGAAUCGCGCUUAACGACUUAUCGACGAUCAAAAGUUUGGUGUACUGCAUGGACCCAGCACCUUAAAAACACACUGCAUAAGUAUUCCACCCGAAUUUCCCACUUUGUCAAGCCUUAACACUUACCUCUCUGCGCGAGAGCUCCUCGAACAAGGAGGUCCUCUUUCUUUCCUCUUCUUCUUUUCUUUUUUUUCUCUUCUGGAAUUCUCGUCCACUUCAUUCCUCUGCAAAGCCUGGCUCCGACUCUGAUCGAUUCUCUUCACCCCCUCGCUCCCAUUUGCCACAGAGAAUCGGAAGUUAAUACAAGCACUUCUUUCCUCGAUUGCAGUUCUUGCUGAAACUUCGCGUACCUUGUACUGACUCUGCUUGUUCUGUUUCUUGCUUUUUCUCCUCUCCGGGAAGAGAUAA